AAUGAACGCUGGCGGCGUGCCUAACACAUGCAAGUCGAGCGAGGAGACAGUGCUUGCACUGGGUCCUAGCGGCAGACGGGUGAGUAACGCGUGGGCAAUCUACCUAUGAGUGGGGGAUACCAUUCCGAAAGGGGUGUUAAUACCGCAUAAGCCCGAAAGGGGAAAGUCUGGGAUCGGCGAAAGCUGACCAGAUGCUGAUAGAGGAGCUCGCGUCAGAUUAGCUAGUUGGUGGGGUAACGGCCUACCAAGGCAACGAUCUGUAGCCGGCCUGAGAGGGUGAUCGGCCACACUGGAACUGAGACACGGUCCAGACUCCUACGGGAGGCAGCAGUGGGGAAUUUUGCGCAAUGGGGGAAACCCUGACGCAGCAACGCCGCGUGGGUGAUGAAGCAUCUUGGUGUGUAAAGCCCUGUCGACAGGGAAUAAAACUGUUUGUUUAAGAGAUGAAUAGUUUGAAGGUACCUGUAGAGGAAGCCCCGGCUAACUCCG
rnacentral:rRNA from 1 species